AGAGUUUGAUCAUGGCUCAGGACGAACGCUGGCGGCGUGCUUAACACAUGCAAGUGGAGCGACGAACCGGGGCUUGCCCCGGGGCAGAGCCGCGAACGGGUGAGUAACACGUGGGUCACCUGCCUCAAUGACCGGGACAACCCGAGGAAACUCGGGCUAAUACCGGAUGUGCUCUUCGGAGGAAAGGUAGCUUCGGCUUCCGCAUUGAGAUGGGCCCGCGGCGCAUUAGCUUGUUGGUGGGGUAACGGCCUACCAAGGCGACGAUGCGUAGCUGGUCUGAGAGGACGAUCAGCCACACUGGGACUGAGACACGGCCCAGACUCCUACGGGAGGCAGCAGNNNGGGGAAUCUUGCGCAAUGCGCGAAAAGCGUGACGCAGCAACGCCGCGUGGGGGGAAGAAGGCCUUCGGGGUUGUAAACCUCUUUUCAGUUGGGACGAAGCUUCUGCGGUGAAUAGCCGUAUGGAGUGACGGUACCUUCACAAGAAGCCCCGGCUAACUACGUGCCAGCAGCCGCGGUAAUACGUAGGGGGCAAGCGUUGUCCGGAAUCAUUGGGCGUAAAGCGCGUGUAGGCGGCUCGGUAAGUCCGCUCUGAAAGUCCAGGGCUCAACCCUGGGAUGCGGGUGGAUACUGCCGAGCUCGAGUCCGGAAGAGGCGAGUGGAAUUCCUGGUGUAGCGGUGAAAUGCGCAGAUAUCAGGAGGAACACCAAUGGCGAAGGCAGCUCGCUGGGACGUGACUGACGCUGAGACGCGAAAGCGUGGGGAGCAAACAGGAUUAGAUACCCUAGUAGUCC
rnacentral:rRNA from 1 species